UGACAGGAUAAAAAAUAUUGACGUCUGAAAUUUUCGCAGGAAAAAAAACUGUCCCGGUGUGGGAGGAGCUUUAGAGCGCCGUGGCAGAACUGGGAGCCGUGAGUCAAAACCAGUGAACCCAUUAGAGCGCCCCCUGCUGGAUCAAUGAGGGUCCUCCAAAUCCAAGUCCAGAGACAGAACCUAGACCCAUUAAAGCCAUAAGGAUCCUCAGUCUGGUCCGGAUCCGUCUUACCGGGUCAGAGCAGGUCUGGAUCCGUCCUCCUCAGGCAAAAACUGCAGACCACGUCCUUCUUUUGACCCGGGUAGGAUGUGGUCUGACUCGGGCCGGGUCGGUUUAGCAGAGAUCCAGUUCAGGAAAAACUGAUCAGGGUUUCAGCUGGUUGACCCAGUUUUCUGUCAGGGUUUCUACUUCCUGUCCUCGGACUCUGACCCGCCUCUUUUUAUACCGUCUGGAUUCACGAGGUUCUGAUCCGAACCUUCUGGACCUGCUGCUGAUUCUUCGGACUGUGAGUGAAGACCAGAACCAGGUCCGGUCUGACCUGGUUCUUUAUUUGGACACAAACCUGAAGGAACCGCGAAACGAGAGAAACCGCCACAACACCGCCAUUUUAACAAGCUCCGCCCCCUGACUCAUGAGCACGCCUGACAGCUCGAGGACGGCCUGAUCCGACAUGUUCCCGGGUUUCCUGCUCAUGUACCGGUCCAUUACACGAUUAAAAACACAUGUUCAGAGUCACAUGACACUGACAUCAUCACCUGAAUUUACCAGACUUUGACCUUUGACCUGCUGUGAGUGAGUGAGGGCAAAGGUCACUUCAGGUUAGUUUCUGCUGCUCUGUUUGAGUGUCCCUGACCUUUGACCCCCUGAAUGUAAAACGCUCUGGAGGGGGCGCUGCGGCCUCAGAGCUGUCAAUCAAGUGUUGUUUACUGAUCAGCUGUUGUUGUUGUUGUUUAUGUUUAUUCAGUUUGAAAACAGGAAAUGAUGUCAUGAGUGAGAAAUAAAAACAGGAAAAGAAA